UUUAACACAUUUAAAUCAGCUGUGUUGAAUCAAGGACACUAAAACCUGCAGGACACCGGCCCUCGAGGCCUGGAGGUCCCCCACCCCUGGUGUAGACCAUGCAUUCAAACUAAGGAGGACGGUGGAGAUGGUUUCCACGAGACGGGCUAGGAUCCAAACAUCCACUCUGCAACAAAUGGAUUCCACCUCAUAUGAGCACGAUGGUUAGCUGCCUAUGACAGCAUCAUGCCACAGCGGUGGAACAGCGGGGACUGUGACAUCAGUAUGGGACAGGCUGCUAUUCAUCACAGCAGAGCACUGACCCCAAUGCAGCCAUCUCCACAUUUGCAUCAUCAUCAGUGCCAUUUGGAUGCAUCAUCGUCUGGAACACAAGAAACAACACCAUCAUCAUCUUUCUCUAAUUCAUUAGUGGUUUUGUUCCUCCCAAAUACAACUGCAGACUGGGAUGUGAUGGGGUUUGAGGAUGACAGUAUUAAAACGUCUCUCGUUCCCCAGUUUAUUUUGUGCCAUUGCAAAAUAAAACGUUUACUGCAAUAUUUUUUAAUUGACGGUUUCCAAUAGUCACCACGGCAACACAGAAGGACCAGCCAAAGGAAAUUGAGGAGCGUUUUUCUAAACGUGGGGUUAGCUCAGAAGUUAGUUAGUGCUGAAGCUAUCGAUUAAUCUAUUGAUUAUUCCAUCGAUUAAUCGGAAAACGAAUACUUUUGUCUUAUUAAUGAGCAAUAAUAAAUAUUUAAAACAGAAAAAAUAUGCCCCCUUCAAAAUUAACUGUAAAAUAAAAUAGGAUAAAUAUGAAAUCUAAACUGAAGCAUAAAAAAAAAGCAUCUUUACUCUGUCUUCUUGGAAAGCUUUAAGAGUUAUUGUACAUGUUUGGCUGUGUGUUUAAGUGUGCAGGUGAAUGAGUGAGUUUCUGCCUGUAAGCCUAUAAAGGAGCAUGUGAGCAUAGCAGCUUACUGAAGUUUUCCCUGUGCUGCUGAAAACAAGACAUUAUAAUGGAACAGACGUUCAUUAAUAUCAACAAUAAUUCACCAUCUAACCUAAAAUCCCUCACGUCAGUUUAAUUUUUAUAUUUUUAAAUAUUAAUGCAAUUUAAUUAACCAUGUUUGAUAUUAUUUCCCUUUCAGUGUGAAAAAUGUUAUAAAAACCUUUAAAUAAAUAUGGUCUAGUGUACACCAUGCCCCCUUUAGACUCUGCCCUGUUAAGUUAACAGUUAAUCUGCAUAUUUUAACACAACUUCUGGAGACUUCCUGCAGAUUUUUAUCUAUGUAAAACAGCGGUGGAUGGAGCAGGUACAAAGUUCACUUUUCUUCAUGUCAAAGUUUGUUGAUGCUUUGAUGAAGGACCGCGGUUGCUGUUUCCCAGUAAAGCUUUAAAUGUUGAUUACAGGACCAGUGCUGCUGAUUUGGACACUAGAAACAUAUUUUCUUUCACUUUACCCGAGUUCACCGUCCUGGUAACGGCUCUGCCGGGCUUUGUGGGCUUGAUGUCGUCAAACUUUAUAUUCACGCGCUGCUCUUAAAUACGUUUGUCUUGCAGGUCUGUUUUAAGUUGCAAAUGAGUUUAAGAACGUGAAGUAAAAGAAAGCUCAAAAUAAACCAGAGUCAAACGUUAGACCAGGGUUUUCCCCACAGCAUGCUGUACAGACUCACAGAGAUGAUUUUGUGCAAUGGUCAAAACCCCAACUCCAGGUAUACGAUGCCCACCCACCCAUUCUCACUUAUGUUACGAGUGUCGGGCCAGAGUAUUGGAGAGAAUCCUCAUACUGUACUACGCUGCAACAACAGAUACGCGAACGACCCCAGCAAAUGCAUCCCGGUAUGAGCUUAACAGUGCAGUUCAUCCAAGACACUGCAGUCAAACUAUUUUCCGGUCUGCUGCUCUCCAGGGCUGAAGUCAGUUUCAUAGCGGCAUAGUAGUCUGAUAAAAAUCCUCAUUCAAACAAGGUGAGGUUGUAGCUUUUCUUUGAUUUCCCACUACGUUCACAUGUAAAAUCUUUACUCAGGGAGAAGACUGAACCCAGACUAAAGCUGACUGCUUGUGGUCAACAUUUCCUCAGAGCAUUACACCAGCUCAAUGCGUAACUGACAUUGCCUCAUUUUCAAACUGCCAACUCUCUGAGACGAGCAAACUGGAGUUUUACACAGAAAGCAAAAGCACAUUGAUAAACAACGUAAAAAAUAAGAAGACUA